CCUACGGGCGGCAGCAGUGAGGAAUAUUGGUCAAUGGGCGCAAGCCUGAACCAGCCAAGUCGCGUGAGGGAUGACGGUCCUCUGGAUUGUAAACUUCUUUUAUAAAGGAAUAAAAUGAGGCACGUGUGCCUUUUUGCAUGUACUUUACGAAUAAGGAUCGGCUAACUCCGUGCCAGCAGCCGCGGUAAUAUGGAGGGUACGAGCGUUAUCCGGAUUUAUUGGGUUUAAAGGGAGCGUAGGUGGGUUGUUAAGUCAGUUGUGAAAGUUUGCGGCUCAACCGUAAAAUUGCAGUUGAUACUGGCAGUCUUGAGUACAGUUGAGGUAGGCGGAAUUCGUGGUGUAGCGGUGAAAUGCUUAGAUAUCACGAAGAACCCCGAUUGCGAAGGCAGCUUACUGGACUGUAACUGACAUUGAGGCUCGAAAGUGUGGGUAUCAAACAGGAUUAGAUACCCCAGUAGUC
rnacentral:rRNA from 1 species